AUUGAACGCUGGCGGCAUGCCUUACACAUGCAAGUCGAACGGCAGCACGGGGCAACCUGGUGGCGAGUGGCGAACGGGUGAGUAAUGCAUCGGAACGUGCCAUUGAGUGGGGGAUAACGUAGCGAAAGUUGCGCUAAUACCGCAUAUUCUGUGAGCAGGAAAGCAGGGGACCGCAAGGCCUUGCGCUCUUUGAGCGGCCGAUGUCAGAUUAGCUAGUUGGUGAGGUAAAGGCUUACCAAGGCGACGAUCUGUAGCGGGUCUGAGAGGAUGAUCCGCCACACUGGAACUGAGACACGGUCCAGACUCCUACGGGAGGCAGCAGGUGGGAAUUUUGGACAAGUGGGGCAACCUGAUCAGCCAUGCCGCGUGAGUGAAGAAGGCCU
rnacentral:rRNA from 1 species